GGGCCACCUGGCCUGCGGCGGAAUGUUGCGUUAAGGGAAAGGUCAUAUUCAUACCCACCAGUCGCACGAUCUCUAAGUCAGCUACGAAUUGGCUAUCCCGACUAACGGAGGGACUGACUCCACAGAGGGUGUAAGACCCGUGUGGGCGUGCGUUAUAGCUGGUUGGGGUUGGCCUCUUUUCCCGGAGAGUCGCGUUGCUUUGGCAUGCAGCGCUAAUCAGGUCGUAAACUCGAUCUAAGGCUAAAUAUAUCCACAGGCCCGAUAGCGAACAAGUACCGUGAGGGAAAGUUGAAAAGCACUCUGAAGAGAGAGUCAAAAGACCGUGAAACCGCUCAGAGUAUAAGCCCAUGGGGCUCGGAAGGCGAACCGCUGCCAAGUAUUUGGCGACAUGCAGGACGGUCCGUCAGGCAGUGGCAUUCAGUUGAUAUCACGCUGACGUACGGGGCUGAUCUGGUGUCGUGGCCACACGGCCUCGGCACGGUGAAGCCUUUGGUAUGGACGUUCAAGGUUGCAUGUCGAAAGGCGGAACUUGCCCACCACAGCUCGUUGUGUGGUCACCCACAGGCUCAACUGCCGAUCGCUUGUUCACCCCCGCUUAGCAUUCCUUGUGUCACAAAAUGGUUCCCACCGACGGCGGUGUGGGGCCGACACUUCGCGGCGGGGCUAUCAUGUUGAACAGGGCGGCGACCGAGAUAAAACCUGGUAUGAUCCACGGGCGACGAGCCGCUUUCUGGCCAGAUGUGCGUGCAGGCUUCUUCUCAUUGCCGAGAGUUGCCUAACACCAGGCGGUUUGUGUCCUCUACUGCUAAGGGCUUCGAGCCCUUGCGGCAUGGCCUCUCGCCGCA
rnacentral:rRNA from 1 species